rnacentral:rRNA from 1 species
AUACGUAGGUGGCAAGCGUUGUCCGGAUUUACUGGGCGUAAAGGAUGCGUAGGUGGAUAUUUAAGUGGGAUGUGAAAUACCCGAGCUCAACUUGGGUGCUGCAUUCCAAACUGGAUAUCUAGAGUGCAGGAGAGGUAAGUGGAAUUCCUAGUGUAGCGGUGAAAUGCGUAGAGAUUAGGAAGAACACCAGUGGCGAAGGCGACUUACUGGACUGUAACUGACACUGAGGCACGAAAGCGUGGGGAGCAAACA